GAUGAACGCUGGCGGCGUGCUUAACACAUGCAAGUCGAACGGUGAAGGCGGAGCUUGCUCUGCUGGAUCAGUGGCGAACGGGUGAGUAACACGUGAGCAAUCUGCCCCUGACUCUGGGAUAAGCGCUGGAAACGGCGUCUAAUACUGGAUACGAGCUGCGCAGGCAUCUUCAGCAGCUGGAAAGAACUUCGGUCAGGGAUGAGCUCGCGGCCUAUCAGCUUGUUGGUGAGGUAACGGCUCACCCAGGCGUCGACGGGUAGCCGGCCCGAGAGGGUGACCGGCCACACUGGUACUGCGACACGGCCCAGACUCCUACGGGAGGCAGCAGUGGGGAAUAUUGCACAAUGGGCGAAAGCCUGAUGCAGCAACGCCGCGUGAGGGACGACGGCCUUCGGGUUGUAAACCUCUUUUAGCAGGGAAGAAGCGAAAGUGACGGUACCUGCAGAAAAAGCGCCGGCUAACUACGUG
rnacentral:rRNA from 1 species